UCGCCCUCUUUUCCAGAUAGCCCCAUCAUCGGGUUCCCGGAAGUCAACAGCGGACGUAUACAGCACACACGGCGUUAAAGCAGAAAGACCGUUUAUGAUGCACUCCUGAAGGCCCAACUGAUUUUGCAUAAGGGACAGGGAAGUUUGAGGACCUGGGUGAGAUGAAAAACACAAGAAGCACUAGGUGCUGGUUGGUGGUGGAGGAGCUGUACUGCUGCAGGACUGUUCCUUGAUGGAGGAUGCUGCAGAUCAGAGCUGAGUGGACCUUGUUGAGACUAAAACAUGACAAGGAGUGCUGUAGGGUGAGGACCAACGAUGUUACAGGUCAGCAGUGGUG